UUAAGUCUAGAUGUGAAAGACCCGGGGCGUCAACCUCGGAAUAGCAUUUGAAACUAGGCAGACUAGAGUACUGUAGAGGGGGGUAGGAAGUUUCAGGUGUAGCGGUGAAAUGCGUAGAGAUACUGAAGGAAUACCGGUGGCGAAGGCGGCCCCCUGGACAGAUACUGACACUCAGAUGCGAAAGCGUGGGGAGCAAACAGGAUUAGAUACCCUGGUAG
rnacentral:rRNA from 1 species